GUGGGGAAUAUUGCGCAAUGGACGAAAGUCUGACGCAGCAACGCCGCGUGAGGGAUGACGGCCUUCGGGUUGUAAACCUCUUUCAGCAGGGACGAAGCGAGAGUGACGGUACCUGCAGAAGAAGGACCGGCCAACUACGUGCCAGCAGCCGCGGUAAUACGUAGGGUCCGAGCGUUGUCCGGAAUUAUUGGGCGUAAAGGGCUCGUAGGCGGUUCGUCGCGUCGGGAGUGAAAACUCGGGGCUUAACCCCGAGCCUGCUUCCGAUACGGGCAGACUAGAGGUAGGCAGGGGAGAGCGGAACUCCUGGUGUAGCGGUGGAAUGCGCAGAUAUCAGGAAGAACACCGGUGGCGAAGGCGGCUCUCUGGGCCUUACCUGACGCUGAGGAGCGAAAGCGUGGGUAGCGAA
rnacentral:rRNA from 1 species